CUGGAGGUAUCAGAAGUGCGAAUGCUGACAUAAGUAACGAUAAAGCGGGUGAAAAGCCCGCUCGCCGGAAGACCAAGGGUUCCUGUCCAACGUUAAUCGGGGCAGGGUGAGUCGACCCCUAAGGCGAGGCCGAAAGGCGUAGUCGAUGGGAAACGGGUUAAUAUUCCCGUACUUGGUGUUACUGCGAAGGGGGGACGGAGAAGGCUAUGUUGGCCGGGCGACGGUUGUCCCGGUUUAAGCGUGUAGGUGUGUGUUCCAGGUAAAUCCGGUUCACUUUAACACUGAGGCGUGACGACGAGGCACUACGGUGCUGAAGCAACAAAUGCCCUGCUUCCAGGAAAAGCCUCUAAGCAUCAGGUAACAUCAAAUCGUACCCCAAACCGACACAGGUGGUCAGGUAGAGAAUACCAAGGCGCUUGAGAGAACUCGGGUGAAGGAACUAGGCAAAAUGGUGCCGUAACUUCGGGAGAAGGCACGCUGACACGUAGGUGAAGUGAUUUACUCACGGAGC
rnacentral:rRNA from 1 species